GACGAACGCUGGCGGCGUGCCUAAUACAUGCAAGUAGAACGCACAGUUUAUACCGUAGCUUGCUACACCAUAAACUGUGAGUUGCGAACGGGUGAGUAACGCGUAGGUAACCUGCCUGGUAGCGGGGGAUAACUAUUUGAAACGAUAGCUAAUACCGCAUAAUAUUGAUUAUUGCAUGAUAAUUGAUUGAACGAUGCUAUUGCAUCACUACCAGAUGGACCUGCGUUGUAUUAGCUAGUAGGUGAGGUAACGGCUCACCUAGGCGACGAUACAUAGCCGACCUGGGAGGGGGAUCGGCCAACCUGGGACUGGAAAAAGGCCCAGACUCCUACGGGAGGGAGCAGUAGGGAAACUUCGGAAAUGGACGAAAGUCUGACCGAGCAAAGCCGGGUGAGUGAAGAAGGUUUUCGGAUCGUAAAGCUCUGUUGUAAGAGAAGAACGGGUGUGAGAGUGGAAAGUUCACAGUGUGACGGUAUCUUACCAGAAAGGGACGGCUAACUACGUG
rnacentral:rRNA from 1 species